rnacentral:misc_RNA from 1 species
CGCACAUUGCGCCCUUUGGUAUUCCGAAGGGCAUGCCUGUUCGAGCGUCAUUUCACCACUCCAGCCUGGCUGGGUGUUGGGUGCCGCGGCCCCGCCGCGCGCCUCAAAGUCCUCCGGCAGAGCCGUCCGUCUCUACGCGUUGUGGUACUCCGAUUCGCGUAGGAGACCGGGUGGCGACGGCCGUUAAACCGAUUUUCUAAAGGCUGACCUCGGAUCAGGUAGGGAUACCCGCUGAACUUAA